rnacentral:rRNA from 1 species
CAUGUAGGCGGCAUGACAAGUCUGGUGUGAAAUAUCUCGGCUCAACCGAGAAAACGCACUGGAAACUGUCAAGCUUGAGUAUCGGAGGGGAAGCUAGAAUUCCUGGUGUAGGGGUGAAAUCUGUAGAUAUCAGGAAGAAUACCGGUGGCGAAGGCGAGCUUCUGGCCAGAUACUGACGCUGAGAUGCGAAAGCGUGGGGAGCGAACCGGAUUAGAUACCCGCGUAGUCC